ACUCACCGGAAUUCUGCCUUCUCGGGCUCGCUUCCGGUCUGGAAAGGAAAAAUUCCCAGGGAUAGUCUGUCACUAAGUGACAGAGUUUCUCUGUAUAAACUUAGCUGUCCUGGAACUCUGUAGACCAGGCUGGCCUCAAAGAGAUCUGCAUGUCUCUGCUGGAAUUUAAGAAUUAUCACUUUAAGAAACAUUGACAAGGGACUGAAGAGAUGGCUCAGCGGUUAAGAUCACUGGCUGCUCUUCUGGAGGACCUGAGUUCAAUUCCAAACAACCACAUUGUGGCUCACAACCAUCUGUAAUGAGAUCUGGUGCCCUCUCUGGCACGCAUCAGCUGGUGUCCCUUCCCUCUAUCACUGCUCCGUGUGUGUUCCUGCUUGCUUGGUUGAAGAGAUGACCUUCAUGAACAGACGAGGACCAUUCUCCAGCCAAGGGUUCAGAGAAUACCUGUGCUCCCCUGCUGGGAUUGCAAACAGUCUCUCAGGAAAUAGUGAUGGUAACAAUGCACCAGCAAACCAUAUACACGGCAGCUAUGUCAUUUGUAUGUCUCAUGAAAUCAGUGACUUAUUUCUCAAGGUAUCAUGAUGAAGCACCUCCAACCAAUAUUAAAUAAUUCUUCAAACUUAUCAUGUAGAAGCAACAGCCAUGAAAACCCCUGUACCAUGUAGGAAGGCUGCUGAAGAAGGCAUCAUGCCCCCUAAUUAUGUAGCUCUACUGUCUUAGCAUUCACUAUGUAGAUCAGACUAGCCUCACACUCACAGAGGUUUUCCUGACUCUCCAUCCCCAGUGCUGGGGUGAAAGAUGUACUCCACCAUGUCAAGUGUUAUUUGUGUAAUAAUUUGUUUAUUUAAUAUGUGUGUGUUGCCUGUAUGUCUAUAUGGACACUACAUUUGGGUGAAGGGAAUUGAAUCCAGGUCCUCUGCAAGAGCAACCUGCUGAACUGUCUCUCCAG